rnacentral:lncRNA from 1 species
AAAUCCAAACCCGAAUUGCAACCUGAACCGGAAUUGCCAUCGGAACUGAAGUCGGAACCGGAAUUGCCACCGGAACUGAAGUCGCAACCGAAACAGAGAGAGAAAUAUGAAUGGGAAUCGAAACGCGUUGAAGAUCUUGAGAUGAGUGACUUCUCUAUGUUUGACGAUGACAUUGAGCCUUUUAUGUUUAUAUGCGCGCGCUUUAUUUACAAGAAUAAGGCCCAGAUUCAAAAAGAUAAGGAGAUUGAAGUAGCCAUGGCUGAGUAUCGUGAGUGCUCUCGCAACCUAAGUGUAAGUAACUCAUCUAUCUAUUUCAAUUUCAUUGUCUUGUGUUUCACUCUCUUAAUUUUAAUUUUAAUAAUUCAUUCUGGACAACACAACACAACACAGGUGUUCGAUGCUAUCCCCGUUCCAAAAAUCUCAGGAAAAUGUGGGGGUGUCGGUCCCCUUCCUAUGACCGAUGAUCGUCGCCUUUUUCUCACUCCCGCCUGCCACCUUGCCUUAGACAAUUACAAUGCUGAGAAUCAGGCAGGUUUCAAUACUUAUGUUGAUUAUAAUAUGUUUAUGUUUAUUCAUUCAUUCAUUGAUCAUCUAAUAUACUAUUAUUAUUUUUUAGGGUCCAAAUUUCGUUUUUGUUGACGUUGUCAAGACAACCUAUAGACCCGGUGGUUUCUAUUACAUUACCUUUCAAGCACAAGAAGAAAUUCCCAACAGCCCUGUUAUAGCUUUUCAGGCCGAAGUCAGGAUUUGGAGGACUGACCCACCUAUCAUCAUCAAGUCGUGUGCCAUUAAAACUACUUAACACACUCACCAUGGUAAUAUAAUUGCUGAUACCAGAGUUUAUAGUUGCUAACCUUCACCCAGUUUCUGUUUUUGUUUUUCUUUCAUCAAAUUCAAAUUUACUUUUAACUUCAUCAUGUUUCUAGGCUACCAUAAAUCGUUGCUAAAUAAAUCAUCCGAGAAACAGUUCCAUUACUGUUUAUCUCAUUUUGCCCAAAAGAUAUGGGAAAAAAAGGAUUUAGAGGGAUUCAAUCCCUAUUAUGCUGCAAAAACGAUGCUUAACCACUGUUCCAUCAUUUUUCUAAUAACACAUGUAAUCUAUGUAUAUUAAUGCGAUCUUAUGCUGAUUACAACAUUAAGUUGUGUGCCAUUAAAACCUAAUAACACCAUGGUAACAAUAUUAUCCAUUCCUUACAUCAUGUUUAAUCUUUUCUUGGUUAAUAUACUAUUAUAGUUCCUUUGAAAUUGUAUUUGAUUUUGAUAUUGAUAAUAAGCGUCAAUCAUUUUAUUUCUUCAUGAAAUUCACAAUUAUGAAAACUUCAAGUUUAUAACUUAUAUUUUCAAGACAGAGAAUACAACUUUUUUAACUGACAUGAUAAAUGGUGAUAUAAAUGCUUAGGUUUCUGCUGGUCUAUCUGCAUCCCAUGUAAAUUUCUUUUGUAGUUUGCUCAUGUAUUGAAUGAAUUGAAUUGAUUGUAUCCUGUUUUAUCUAUCUCCGAGAGUAGGUAUCAAAUUCCACUUGCUUUUGAAGUGUACGAAACACAAGUAUAAACAGUUAAUUCAGCCUAGUAGAAUUUUUUAUUAACGAUUAAAGAAUGCAUAGGAAAUAUUGAGAAUUGAGUAGAUAUUAUUGUUUAUUGAAUUAGAAAUUUUAACAUUGAAAUAUUGAGAUUUAGCAUGUGGAAUUUGUAUCAUCAAUUAUUUGUGUAUUCUGCUUCCUUGUGUGAACUAAAGGCACCUACUCUAAUCCAUCAUUCAAACGUUACCAUCAAUUAUUAUUGGCGUUUUAAAUUCAUGUACGGCAAUACUUGAUUCUGCAAAACUGAAACAGAGCAUUAGAUCUUAUGCUGAUUUCUGCAAUGCAAGUCAUGCUUGUAGGGACAUGUAACUUUUCAUUUUACCUUCAUGAAGCUCACUGAUAUAUCCCUAUGGUUUACCCCCUAACCCUAAUUUUUUUAUUCAAUUUUACAGGAAAUUAUGUCCAAUGCAUCCACCUGCUGUGAAUUUACCUUCCAUGAAUCUGAUUUUGGUUAUGUACAAACCCAAGCUAGCCCGGACAAACUUCUGGGUGUAGUGAAUUAAACGUGGUGUUUAUGUAGAUAGUAUAUUUGCUAGAAAAUUUGGGAUUUUAACGUCGCAUGUCAUGUUAUUUCACACCAACGAAUGUCACUAACACUAAUGUUUGUCAUUUAUCUUUAUAAUCGGAUGACAUUUCCCAACGCUUGAUAUGAAUAUAUGCAAGUCUUGAAUCCAAUAGUUUCAUUUGUUUCUUAAUUUGAGCUACACCGUACAUUAAAUUGCUUCGGACAAGAGAUAUCAUUUCUCAUUUUUGGAAUACUGAACAUUUGAGGCAAUUUGUCUUAUUACACACUAGUGAGAAAUGGAUAUUAAGCGAGGAAGAGGUCUUACUGUUAGCCAUUACAUUAAAAUGAAGUGCUUAGAAUAAAACAUCAUUUAUAAUUGAUAAUACUAUAGUUGUUAAGCUUCAGCCAGUUUUUCUUUUAACACCACUUUUUGUUGUGCUUUAUUUGGAAGCUGCUUUAUGUUUUUUCCUAUUGACUUCAUAAGUCAGCCUUUUUUCGCCUCACAGUAAAAAAUGCUGACCAUUUUCUUUAAAAUAGAUUGAAUUCAAGUUAGGCAUUAACACAUAUAAGUUUAAUAAAUAACCUUGAGUCGCAAUUUGUAUAUAAUAGUGUUCUUUUUUUAAACAAUGGUGUUUUUUAAAUAAGGGUAAAACUUGAAUGAAAAAGUUACAACUUAUUUCAUGGAAUUAGAAUUUGUUAAUUUACAUCAUGACAUAUCCAAACAAUAACAGAAUGGACAUCUUUCUAUUCUUCUUUAUAUCACUCCAUUCACUUUUCUUCCUGCUCCCCUCCAUUCAUUUUAAAAUAUCCAAACAUAACCCAAGUUGCAACUCCAACGCCCACAAUGUAAAAGUCCCAUUUUACACUCAACAACUUGUAUGUAGGCAUGUCAAUGGGAUGGGGUGGAGAAAGGUUUCACCUUCUACGUCCUCAUAUCCCCGACUCACAUAUACUUACACGUGUUACCUUAUCUAUAUCCAACGGACAUGAGUUAUAUUUCCGUCUCCAACGAGUUUGGGUAUCCUCGUCCCAUUCUCAUCUCCACAUUGAAUAUUUUUUUAAUAAAAGAAGUUUUUCCCAACUCCAAAUGCAAUGAUGUAAUGCAUUAUCUAUCAAUAUGACCACUUUAACAAUUUCUUUGACGGGAUAAUUUUGCUGCUCCUUUAAAUUUCAAUGACUUUUUUUAUAACAUGGCAAGUCUCAAUUGGUAAUAAAGCAAUUUUCUACAUUCGGGGUCGGUUUGUGUUUGAGUUUAGGGUGGUGCUUUAAAAUUGGAAAAAACUCCAACAGAUGCCUAAAUCCAAUUAAAACGGGAAAAAUCCAUUAAAUCAGUGUGGAUUUGGCCAGGUAGCUGCGGUUACUGGUUUCACUGCCAAGUCUACUUGUAUGUUAUAUGAGGAACAUCACAGAUAGAUUGUUCUAACUUUUUCAAUGAUUACGAAGGCAUUACCCUUAACCUCGUGGCAGGGACACUUUCUGGUUUAUAUUAAACAGCCACUUUAAUUAAGCAAAGCAUUGAUCGCUCUCUGAUUAGUUCUUAAAUCUUUAAUUCAAAAGGCAAUGAUCAACAAGAUAUAAACAAAAUUACGUUUGUAUCAUAAGGACCCAAUGCAUUAGAGUUGAUUCCAGAACAUAAAACAUUAUGGGGUAGUAUAAGUAAACGCGACGCUUAAUUGAUUCUUACAAAUGUUUUCUUACACAAAAAAAAUAAAAGAAUAGUUUUCAGAUAUAAUUUUAUCAUAGUGUAACACUUGUUUAAUCAUCAAGGUAUCAACACUUGUUUGAAAAUUCAAAAAUAUUAUCAUCUGUUCGUUAAAAUACAAUAUUACUAUUUUUUUUUCUUUCGUUUUUCACUAAACAAUCACAAAAGUAAAGGAUGGGUUAAGUUUUUUUGGUAAUAAACACAAGAAAAAUUCUGGAUUAAAAGGGAACACAAGAACACUAAAACUUUCUCGGAAGUUAUCGGAAACUAAACACCAAUUUGAGAUUUAGAAAAAUUGAAGGAAAAUUCGCGGAAAGGAAUUGAAAGAGUUGGAGGGAAAUUUACAACUUAUUUUAUGGAAUUAGAAUUUGUACAUUUACAUCAUGACAUAUCCAAACAAUAAUAGAAUGGACAUCUUUCUAUUCUUCUUUAUAUCACUCCAUUCACUUUUCUUCCUCUUUGCUCCCCUCCAUUCAUUUUAAAAUAUCCAAACAUAACCCAAAUUACAACUCCAUUCACUUUUCUAUAUCGAAGUACAAAAAAGUAAUUCGGUCCGAGUUUUUUUAGCAAAUCUAGCAAACCCUAAUAGUAGAAAAUGAUGAAUCAAGUAUGCAAAUAACCUCAUGUACAUGUAAGCCACAUCAUAUCAUAAAAUUAAAAGCGUUUUGAAAUCCCGAGGGUUAGCUGAAAGAAUCACUUUUACAAACUUAAAUCAAAAUAUAGCCUAAUAGUAAAAUAAAACAUUCAAGCUUUAGUACCUUGUGCAUAUUUAAGUCUUAAAUAAAAUACUAGUAGUACCUUAUAAAACAUUCAAGCUAAGUACCACACACUUUAUCAAUUUUCCUUAUAAAAUAACCUAGUAGUUAAUUAAGAUAAAAGUCCACUCCAUUCAACGGUUAUGGAAAUGACAACCUUGAUGAAUCUUUCCUUUAUCAACUUCGCAGCAAACUUCUCUUCCCCUAAUAUGUUUCUCUUAGCCUGCAUCAUGAGAGGAAAACACAACUAUAAUUUUAUACUUGAAUAUACACCUCAUGCACCAAAUAGAAAUAAUAAUGUGAUUUUUUUUUGUAGUAGUAGUAAGGAACCACUUUCCGUACUAUGCACCAAAUAGAAAUAAAUAAUAAUAAUACUAUAUACUUAAUGGAUGGAAUGUGAAGACCGAGGAAAUCAUGUAUCUCACUCACCCUCAAGUAAAAUUAUAUAUAAAGCUAAUGGGAAAGAAGAUGAAAUAUAAGUAAAUAAGCUAAUGGAAGAGUUUGUUAAAGAGGGAACUUGUAGGCAUAACUUACAUGGACUAUUCACGAACAAGGAGAAGGACUCCAUCGACUGUUGGGAUCAUCAACUACAAAGUAAUUGGAAACAACAUUAUUGAUAAACAACCAAAUAUAUUGAAAUAGAGCAAGUGUGGUAAAGUUGUUCUUUAUGUAGCUUUUGAUUGUAUGUCACAUGAGGAACAUGACAUACGCAGCUUCUUUUCAUUGUUCUAACUUUUUCAAUUGAUUACGAAGACUCUACCCUUAAGUUAACCUUGUGUCAGGGUCACUCUCAGGUUUAUAUUAUUAAACAGUCAUCAUAACCUUUAAUUAAAUUUUUCUCAUUUUCUCUCAACAUAUGAUGAUCCCUCCUAAUAAAAAUACUAUCAAAUUUUUAACCUUUAAUUAUAUUUUAUUUUCCUUUCAUUCAUUUCUAUAAAACAAGAAUUAGAAACAGGAUGUGCACAUACCAGUUGAAGUGCUUGGAAUGUCUUCCUGAUGAUGCUCUACUUCUUCUUCUUCUUCUUCUUCUUCUUCCUGCAGUUGGCAAAUCCAGUGGAGAAAACAAAAAGCAAAAGGUUAUUAUUGAGUUUAGAUGAUUAAAAUAUAGAGAACAGAGUAUGAAAUAGAACACAACACACACACCUUCAGCUCUGAAGUUGUUGGACAAAAGCGCUUCCUUAAGAGUUUCUUAUGCUCCUGUUGAAUGAUAAUAAUAAAUUAACAUCAGACGGAUUGGCUAAAUUAAUUAAACAGAAUGUUGUGUUGUUUUGUAGGGAUCAUUUACUUAAUUAAUUAAUUAACCCUAAUAUAAUAAAAUAAAAACAAGGAAGGAGACAUAUACUACCUCAGCUCCCAAAUUCUCAAUUUCUUCGUCACCAUCCUCCUCAUCAUCGUCAUCGUCAUCACCAUUCUCCUCCUCCUCCUCGCCGACAUCCUCCUCAUCAUCGUCACCAUUCUCCUCCUCCUCCUCGUCAUCAUCAUCAUCAUGGCCUUGUGGUCCAUGGUGGUGCAAAGAUUCAAUUGCCGCACAAGUGGCAAAUGCAUAACAAUAAUUUACAUAAAUUAAUAUAUUCUAUUAAAUAAUAAUAAUAAUAAUCCUCUCAAAAUAAUAAUAAUAAUAAUAGUAAUAAUAAUAAUAUACUAUAUAUAAAUAGUGUAACUCAAAAGCGCUUAGAUAAAAUGCCACAAGUCUUUUCUAACUUAACCAAGGUCGUAAGGAAUUUAAAAACCAACUACAUUUUUUAAUUGAAUUUUUUUGUUUUUUUUUUCAAAUUCAAAUUUAAAAAGAUCCAAAUUGAAUAUUGAAAUUGAAAUGUUAAAGAUAUUAAACAAAAUAAUUAUAUUAAGAGUUUAAUAGUGGUGGAUUGACGGUACAAAAUAAUUUUGCACACACAACCAAUCAAAACUUUCUGAAUCGCCACAUCAAUUAAUGUUUUUAAUUUAAGUAGGCCAAACUUGAUAAUUCAAAACUUGAUAAUCACACACUCACACUUCACAAAGCAACGAGCCUUGAAUGAGAUAUGGAAGGCUCAUUUUUACAGGAAUCAAAGUAAUAACAGUUUUAUUAGCAUCUUAAAUCCAUAUUGGCUCAGCAAUACAACGAGACACAUUUGUAAAAAAACAUACGUGAGCUUGAUAUUAUGCCACUGAUUCUUGAAGAAUGGAAGAUGUAAACUGAGGUUUUUCAUACCGAAUAAAACACUACGAAUCGCUUCCAUCGAAGGGAAACCAACUUUCCGAGCAUAUCUGAAAUUGCACCUUGAAUACAUGGAAACCUGACCUAAAUACUAGUAGUGUGCAUUUGCAUCUAUACUAUAGCAUGUAAAGAGAAUAGUAAGAGCUGGUUUCUUACUGCAUUCAUCAAUUCCAUAUGCGUUCAUUUAAUUUAUACGUAUAAGUGUUGUUUGUUUCAUUAUUAACUUUUUAUGUUUUGAAAACUCUAUUUCCAUGUUGAUUACUGUGGGGAAUAUUUGUUUAGAAGACGCAGAUGAAAGAAGCUCCAUGAGGAAAAACUGAAUAAGACUUGGAAUUUGUAGGAACUAUUUUAAAGUUGAAUUUUGCUAGGAAGCUUGUUUUGUUUAGUUGUUUUAGUGCUAUAGAAUUUUAAUCGAUUUAAUCUCCUUUUGUAAAGUGGUAUACUUGGUACUCUUAAGUGCAGUCAAUCUUCUUAGUAACCUCCUUCAAAAAAAUAAAAAAUAAAUCUUCUUAGUAAGCAUUUAGUAUGAGAUGUCACAAAUUUUCACGCAUACAUUUUGCAAAAAUUGUCUCUGGCUCUCUGCAAUACAAAACAUUGCAGACUUCACAUGAUUUUGACGCAUGUUAUCAUUUUGAUAUUCACAUGAGAGGGGAACUCUGGUUAAUGAGUGGAAUAGAUCAAGUGCUCAUUUCAGAGGAAUACUCUCAAGUGUGAGGGGAGAUAUCUCUAUGGGCACUUCCGAGAGAUUUUACGAUCAUUGUCCUUUGGUGUUAAAGGUGGGAGAGUGGGAUUGGGGGCCUAAACCGUUUCGAUUUAACAAUUUUUUGUUAGAAAAUAUGAAGUUUAAGGGAGUAGUGGAGGAGGCAUGGAGGAGUCAAAAUGUGAGUGGUUGAAUAAGUUUGUGUUGAAAGAAGAGCUCAAAGGUCUUAAAUCUAAGAUCAAAAAGUGGAAUACGUAGGAGUAUGGAGGAAAGGGUUUGAGUGAUAGUGAGCUUUGUUUGCGGAAAGACAAAUUUUUUGAAUUACGGAGAUUACUUAAGCAAAAGACUUGUCGAUUGUGCAAAGGUUUUCAUUAUCGGAUUAAAUUAUAGUGACUCUUCAUUAUCUAAUAUGAAUAAAUGCUAACUACUUAAGCUCUCUAUCAGAUUAAAUGAUCAACCUUUGGUAUGAUGAUUGAUUGAUACUUUCUACCAUAUGUUAAAGGUUAUGUUGUACCAAUAUGUUUAUCUAAUGCUUCGCUUACGUCAACAUAAUGAAACCAAUCAAAUGAUGUUUAAUGCUUGACACCAAAGUAUUCGAAUGUUCUUAUGGUGUGAUUCAUAGAUGAUGUUCAAUUGAAAAAUUCUGAUAUACAAUUUUGGAUCCAUUAUUCAAAAGUGUAACUACUUUCUUUGUCGUGUUUAAACUCUCAUGUAUAGUUCACUAUGUGACUAGUUAACAUGAUUGAUCAUAGCAUGUGUUUGGAAACACAUUUGUCAAUCCCAUACCGCAUCCUAAUGCACUUUCGUCGAGAAAAUUCCAAAGGACGGUGGAGUACUGGGGAGGAAAUUUUUGCGGAGGAACUUUUAGUAAUGUUCUUAACACAUCUAUAAAAAAUUGUUAAAAAACAUUAAGAGUUUAAGCAUAAAUUAAACAAAUUUAAAUUGAAGAGAGACUAAUUCUGAGUGCAUGAUAUUUUUGUAAGCACUAAAACAACUAUUAAAAUUAAAUAAGGAUUAAACUUAAAAUGCCUCAAUUUUAUAGGGACUAAAAACAUAUUUAACACAAUAAAACAAAGUCACAUGUGACAUCCACGUGUGCGUCACCGUUUACUCAGUAACAAUUAACAGACCUAUUUUGCUAAAUAAAAUUUAAGUAGGAACCGGUGAAAACGCGCCUAACCCAUAAAAUAAAUAAAGAGGAAAGGUGUUUUGGUUUAGGUUAGAUAUUUGUGAAUUGUGGUUCCUUCCUUCCUUCCGUUUUGCAGAAUGUCGACAAAUUUCGAUACCCCCUUGUUCGGUGUCAGCCGACCUGCUCCAGAAAGCUGCGAUGAAAGAGGGAAGUGGGUGAAAUGUGAACCAAAACCAAAACCGAAAUCGAAAAAAUAUGAAUGGGAAUCGAAACGCGUCGAAGAUCUUGAUAUGAGUGACUUCUCUAUGUUUGACGAUGACAUUGAGCCUUUUAUGUUUAUAUGCGCGCGCUUUAUUUACAAGAAUAAGGCCCAGAUUCAAAAAGAUAAGGAGAUUGAAGUAGCCAUGGCUGAGUAUCGUGAGUGCUCUCGCAACCUAAG